rnacentral:rRNA from 1 species
UUUAUGGAGAGUUUGAUCCUGGCUCAGGAUGAACGCUGGCGGCGUGCCUAAUACAUGCAAGUUGAGCGAACAGACGGGGAGCUUGCUCCCCCGACGUUAGCGGCGGACGGGUGAGUAACACGGGGGUAACCCACCUCUAAGACUGGGAUAACUCCGGGAAACCGGGGCUAAUGCCGGAUUACAGGUUGGAGCACAUGGUCCUACAUGCACAGACGAUCCUACUGUCAGUUUAUGAUGAA